rnacentral:rRNA from 1 species
UAUACCGUGAAACUGCGAAUGGCUCAUUAAAUCAGUUAUCGUUUAUUUGAUAGUACCUUACUACUUGGAUAACCGUGGUAAUUCUAGAGCUAAUACAUGCUGAAAACCCCAACUUCGGGAGGGGUGUAUUUAUUAGAUAAAAAACCAACGCCCUUCGGGGCUUCUUGGUGAUUCAUGAUAACUUUACGGAUCGCAUGGCCUUGCGCCGGCGACGGUUCAUUCAAAUUUCUGCCCUAUCAACUUUCGAUGGUAAGGUAUUGGCUUACCAUGGUUUCAACGGGUAACGGGGAAUUAGGGUUCGAUUCCGGAGAAGGAGCCCGAGAAACGGCUACUACAUCCAAGGAAGGCAGCAGGCGCGCAAAUUACCCAAUCCCGACACGGGGAGGUAGUGACAAUAAAUACUGAUACAGGGCUCUUUUGGGUCUUGUAAUUGGAAUGAGUACAAUUUAAACCUCUUAACGAGGAACAAUUGGAGGGCAAGUCUGGUGCCAGCAGCCGCGGUAAUUCCAGCUCCAAUAGCGUAUAUUAAAGUUGUUGCAGUUAAAAAGCUCGUAGUUGAAACUUGGGCCUGGCUGGUAGGUCCGCCUCACCGCGUGUACUUGUCCGGCCGGGCCUUCCUUCUGGAGAACCUCAUGCCCUUCACUGGGCGUGUUGGGGACCAGGACUUUUACUUUGAAAAAAUUAGAGUGUUCAAAGCAGGCCUUUGCUCGAAUACGUUAGCAUGGAAUAAUAGAAUAGGACGUGCGGUUCUAUUUUGUUGGUUUCUAGGACCGCCGUAAUGAUUAAUAGGGACAGUCGGGGGCAUCAGUAUUCAAUUGUCAGAGGUGAAAUUCUUGGAUUUAUUGAAGACUAACUACUGCGAAAGCAUUUGCCAAGGAUGUUUUCAUUAAUCAGUGAACGAAAGUUAGGGGAUCGAAGACGAUCAGAUACCGUCGUAGUCUUAACCGUAAACUAUGCCGACUAGGGAUCGGGCGAUGUUCUUUUUUUUGACUCGCUCGGCACCUUACGAGAAAUCAAAGUU